UUCAUCCCCGGCGAGCCGGCGACUGCCUCGCCGCUGGUGGAAGGUGGCGCCGCCGGCACGGCCGGUUUGAUCUUCUUUUUGUCACCGCGAGGGGGUUGGGCCCUGGUGUCUCCUUGCUUCCCCGGCGUGCUGACCUCCGUUGUUAGAUCCAUCUGGGAGAGGCUGCUCCUCAGCCAUUCGUCCUCCUCGCCUUCUGUUGGGCUCAGCUGUACCAAUUCCGACAACAGAAAAAGUGUUCCUUCUAUCAGAGAAGAACACCAACAUAAUGUCCACUGUUCUUUAGCAGCCAAAGGAUCAGAUUUGGUCUCCUCACCUUCACAUCGGUGAGAUCGACGUUCCCCUUCCUGAGAUACUUCAUGAACUCCCGGAAGUUCGCCUCUGUGGGCCGGUAGUGCCCGCUAUGAGGCCACACAGCCUGAAGACGGUGGGUAACUGAAUCAGACAGGUGAAUUUGGAAUUCUAAACAUAAAAUCUAAAUUCUGGCAAUAGUAGAAAUAUGCAGAUCCAGGCACCUUUAGGAUUCCGUUCGCAACGACUAAUCUCCCGGCAGCAGAUGUGGCUCCACCGGCAAGGAAGCUGGAGUGCUGAAAUGUUCCCUUGCUCUUCUGCAAUAAUGUGCUUAUUUCAUCAGUUACAGAAUUUUCGUCGUGCUCAACACAAAGAUCCAUUUUGCAUCCUUGGGCCCCUCGGACGUGUUGACAAUCUUGCGGCUCAGCUUGUACAUCAUCAUCUUAUUCUCGAUCAUUACCUCAUAGAACUCCCUCUCUUUCUGCACAGAGAAACAACACCAUGUUCAGAUAUGUGACAUUUUAUGCCCUGUUUUUUUGUUUCCUUGCUUGAUCGCUAGUACUAACAUUUUCUAAUUUGAGAUUACAGCUGGAUUGUUCUACAGGUCGCAGCAACUUACAGGGCCAAGAUACCUGAUGCAUUGGUGCAGCAGCUUCCAUCUUGGGCAUUGGUCCUCAAGAUUAAUCUCUUUUCCUUCACCUACAUCCAACCUAUCACAAACGGAAUUUCAGAAAUCAUGAGCUUGUUUUUGUUGAUCUAGUUCACAGAUAAUGCAGAGUUCAGCAUGAACUGUACCAGUAGAAGAAAGGUUGUUGACUGUCGCAGUGAAGCCAGCUUUUAUAAUAGUAGUGGAGGUUGUGACCGUAUCGAUGCCGGGGGUCAAUCUGCCCAUGAAAUACUAUGGAAUUUGAGUUUGAUGUGUUCAAUGCUAUUAUAGGAGAGUGUUUGAAGAGAAUGUUUCCGAGCCAUACUGCUUCUAGCCAAUGCUGAAGUGCGAGCUUCUGGGCCUUUUCAUCCUUGGACAAACCUUUGCCUACCUUGAAGUAACAACAAAGGAACACCACCCAUAUGAAUUCAGUAUUCAGCAGUAUUACAAUAUGCUAAUGGUCAUUAAGAAAAUCUAAACAGCAGAAUAUGGUUAGCUUAAAGUGACACAUACCUUGGCAGCCUUUAUUCUGGCCCGUGACCAUCUUGUUAGGGCAGUCUCUGGCUUCUCUACCUCGAAGAAUGACACCGAACUUUGCUUGAGCAGUGCGAAAUCGAGAAGCUUCCACCUGAAUUCGGCAUCGCAAAUUUCAGGACACCAGUUACAAAGGGCCACUGUAUCAAAUACGACAAUGGACGACAAGCACAUGAAAUUGUAACAUACCACCGUUGUUCGACAAGAACAGCGCAGUCAGCAAGCUGUCGUCUUGUUCUGAAGCUCUUGUAUACCUUCUGCACCCUUAUUGCUGCAGCCUGGUGCUGCGGACUGACCAUCCCUACCACCGGAGAAUUUGGUGGCAGGUGAUCUGCCCCAUAUUUCGAAAGGACCCCUAGAGCUCACCGCAUCGAACAUUUCUGGUGGCGAAUCAGGGGUCUCAAGGCUGCUGAGGUUGUCAAAGCUUAAGGACCGGACAAAUGGCCUGUCCGAGUUGUCAUCAUCUGCUGGCAAGUAGUCAUCCGGUGGGUAUGAGAUCGACAGACCCAUUGUUUGCCUCAGGUCUAUUGUUUCCUCUGUAUGACUUGCUUCUGUUGUUUAAGAUCUCUGUAGCAAUUGUGUUCUUUACGAGUCCCUCGACACCCUAUGUGAAUACAGGGAAAACAAAGGACAUCAAAUGUGUGUGGCUUCUGUGAAUGAACAAAAUUGUCUUAACAACAGAUUUCAUGUAUUCUCUUCCAUUGUUCUAUAUCUUAUCAAGGCCCACCAAUCAUAGAUUUUGUGCAAAAGAAUUCACAUCUUACCUCUUAUGAUAAGAUCACAAGUAUAUAAGAUUUAUGUAUAGCAUGUUUUCAUAAGCUGAUGCCCCAGAGAAUCUGGAACAAAAUGCAAACCGCAAAAGAAUUUCGUUGCUCGUUUCUUGAUAAGUGCACCUGGUUCCAGCAUAACACAUUCUAACCAAGCGAACAGAUAUACCAUGGAAAAGGAUUUUUACGGCAAGAAUCGAGUAAUGA